rnacentral:rRNA from 1 species
UACGGAGGGUACGAGCGUUGUCCGGAAUCAUUGGGCGUAAAGGGCGCGUAGGUGGCCCGGUCAGUUCGUGGUGAAAGCGCGGGGCUCAACCCUGCGUCGGCCAUGAAUACUGCCCGCGGCUGGAGCACUGUAGAGGCAGGCGGAAUUCCGGGUGUAGGCGGUGGAAUGCGUAGAGGAUCCGGAAGAACACCGGUGGCGAAGGCGGCCGAG